rnacentral:misc_RNA from 1 species
AAGUCGUAACAAGGUUUCCGUAGGUGAACCUGCGGAAGGAUCAUUAACACUUUUGAAAAGCAUCCAAAUAUCAACAAAUCACAACCAAACGGUCAACUAUCUCCUCCCUAUUUCGCACACCGGAGACGGUACGAGUAGGCUAACAUGUCAAUAACAAGCUCAAGCUCAAGCAAUUGCGCAUGCGCAUGUUAUUUUCAAACACAAGAUAACCCCUUUUAAUUAUAUUAUUCAUUUAAUAUAAACGAACAACUCUUCGAAUUUGCCCUUCAUUUUCAAUGAAGAACAAAAACGAACUAAACUAAAAUAUACAUUCGAUAUAUUUUUAUUUUACGAAAUAAUAUAUAUUUAUAAGAACAACUCUUAGCAAUGGAUAUCUUGGUUCUC